UAAAACUGCAAAAAUAAUUAUUAUCAUUCAAGAACAUAGUUUUAUAAUAUAUGAAUUAUAAAAUGAGUAAUAUUAUUUAGUACAAACAGUAACGUAAUCUAAAUGACAAUACAUAUGACAUUAAAUGACAUAUUUAACAAAACGUAAAGCUCUUAUAGAGCCCAUUUAAUUAGACAUGUCACUUUGUUGUCUUGGUGUUAAUUUUUCCUAGUUUACACCUCAAUCUCUGACCCUUUUUCAUAAACACUCAAGGACAUGUGUCUUAUUCGUCUAACAUGCCAAGAACUUCAGACAAUGCAAAAGAAAAAUGCUUCAACCUAAGAGUUUCUAGAUUUUCAAAGGUGUCCAUGACUAGUAGUAGUAUCAUACAAUGAUGUGGUAGGUCUAGGGUACAAUUGUACAAGUUAAAUAUUUACCCAGCUUUUGGUCUGACCUCAAUCCAUUGAAUAAUGAGACCAUGCUUCCAGUUUCCACCCUUCCCCUCCAUCAAACUUAUUUCCACAUCGGAAUCUUGUUUUCC
rnacentral:lncRNA from 1 species